GGAGGCAACUCUGAUGCAGCAACACUGCGUGAAGGAUGAAGGUUUUCGGAUUGUAAACUUCUUUUAUCUGGGAAUAAUCUUGAAGGUACCAGAUGAAUAAGCACCGGCUAACUACGUGCCAGCAGCCGCGGUAAUACGUAGGGUGCAAACGUUAUCCGGAUUUAUUGGGCGUAAAGAGCUCGUAGGUGGUCUCGUAAGUUGGAUAUUAAAUCUCCCGGCUCAACUGGGAAGCUGUAUUCAAAACUACGAAACUUGAGGUAUGUAGGGGCAGAUGGAACUUACGGUGUAGCGGUAAAAUGCGUAGAUAUCGUAAGGAACGCCGAUGGUGAAGACGAUCUGCUGGACAUCACCUGACACUGAGGAGCGAAAGCGUGGGUAGCGAUCGGGAUUAGAUACCCCGGUAGUCCACGCCGUAAACGAUGCAUACUAGGAAUUUGGAGUAUCGACCCUCUGAUUUUCGAAGCUAACGCGUUAAGUAUGCCGCCUGGGUAGUACGGCCGCAAGGCUA
rnacentral:rRNA from 1 species